UGUCUUGCUGUGGUGCACCCUGGGCAGGGGUCCCUCAUCGGGCUCUAUGUGAGGCCUGAGUAUUGCUGCCUGCCCCUGGCACUAGCUUCUUUGGCUCUGCGAGCCAGGUUUCUUCCAACACGUGGGUGCUGGUGUCUGGCCUGCUCCAGGUUUUGCUGGGGCAGAAGUUUGGUGCGUUUCUCUGCUUAGCUGUCUGUCUUGGCACAGGCUCUCCCACCAGUGCUGGGAACGGGUUGUCAUGUCCGUGUGCCUUCCUGUUUGCCUUGUUGUCUUCCAUGUCACUGCAGCAUUUCUCUGCUUUUCCCAGAACUAGCAGGAGACCUGUGUUUGCACAUCUAAAUUGCUUCCCUCGCUUGCUGUGGGAAAGCCCUAAGAGGACUCUGCCUGCACCCUCACAGCUAUGGCGGGGGGGGGAUUAAAAAAAAAAAAAAAAGGUGCCCGUGGGGUCUUGGCAGGGUGGGGCCACUGUCCCCAGUGCGGUGAGGGCUCUGAGUUGUUGAUAGUGGCAAUUGCCUUUUCUUUGUCUCUGUAUGUGUGUGGAGGAGCCAUCUUCCGAAGGCUUGAGGGCUGUGAAGCAGACACUGUGAAGAUGAAGUGAACAGUCCCAGAGAUGGUGCUCGAGGAAAUGGGCAGCCUUGUCGUGACUUCCUGACUUGUGUGAUGUGAGGCCUCUUCCCCUGUGGCAUGACCUGGCUGGACUCCUGGGGAGGUUUUGUGUGUGUAGCUUCGCAGGCGGUGCAUCUCUGCUCCCACUUCCUGCUGUGAGGACACCUGGUAAGGAGCAGCAUGAUUGUGGCUGGCUGUGUGGCCUCAAUGUUGUGGGGGAGAGGAAUAGAAGUGAGUUUUCUACAGUGGUGGUAGAAGAUGGAGGAACUGGAUCCUGAAAGGUGGGCUGGGUUAAAGUGGGAGGCUGGGUUGCGUUUUCCCUGGUCGUAUUUGGGUGGGGGAGGAAACCCCUAGUGUGUGAUGGGGUCUGGAGCUCCGUGCUGUCUGGGGAGUGAUGCUGAAGCAGGGAAUUGUGGCCCUUAGGGAUGCUGCAGAGCAGGGUGGGUAAGCCUGAUUUUGGUUUAGCUUGGUGUUGAGUCCUGACUGCUUGUAAAGGCUGGAAAUUGUCCUUGAGUAUAUUAGGGGUUUCAGUGUUUGCCCCUGGCUUCUGGGUGCAGAUCAUGGCAUUGGAUGUGCUGGGGCAGAGGAGUGGGUGCGUGCGCCUCCGCCUCUGCCUGGCUGUUGUUGCUGCCACUGCUCUCCCUUCAGUUCUGGGAAGUGCGCUCUGUCCUAUGUCUCUGGUUGUGUCACUGGUGUUUCUUUCUACUUUGAUAUCUAAAAUCACAGCAGCACUUCUUUCUUUGCUCUUCCCAGAGCUGGAAGGAUAGGUGUGUUUGCAUAUAAAUUGAUCCCCUCCUUUGGGUGGGCUUUGACUGCACCCUGUGUGCCUCAUGUGCGGGUGGGGGUGUUAUGCUUUUGGUGUCCUAGAUUGCAGGGGGGAGGGCAUUGUGUCUGUGCUGUCAGUACUAUGAGGUGUGAAUACUGUUGUGUGUAGUAAUUGCUUGUUGUUUUGGGUGUGAUGUCAAUGUGUGGAGUGUGAGCUGAGGUGAAGAGACCUAGAGCCAGUGCUACGUAGAAGCAGGUGGUCGUGCAGCCAUGCUCACUUCUGGGUGACCUGGAGGGAGGCCUCUGCCCGUUCGGUGGAGCUGUGUGCAUGGGCAGAGCCUGCAGUGGGUAGGAUGUUACUUGGAGCGGUG